GUCGGGAUAGCUCAGAUGGUAGAGCAGAGGACUGAAAA
rnacentral:tRNA from 1 species